GGCGCCGUGGCUUAGUUGGUUAAAGCGCCUGUCUAGUAAACAGAAGGUCGCGAGUUCGAAUCUCGCCGGUGCCU
rnacentral:tRNA from 13 species